rnacentral:lncRNA from 1 species
CGGGAGGCUGAGACACAAGGAUUGCUUGAACCCAGAAGGUGGAGGUUGCAGUGAGCUGAGAUCACGCCACUUUACUCCAACCUGGGCAACAGAGCAAGACUCCAUCCGCCCCCCCUGACCCAACAAAAAAAAAAAUAGAAUGACAAGUUCAAAUCCUUGUCUUUCUCACUCAGAUGUAAACUAAAACCAAGGGAUUCUUAAUUCUUCUGGCUUCUUAAUUCUGAAGUAGCCAGAAGGAAAGCAAAGUUUGGGCCUGCUGGUUUCUGAGUUGCAACUGGAGUUGAAAAUAAUGCCUUUUAAAGUCUCCUAUAUGAAAGAUAGGAAUUGAUUGGUAAAUAGUGGCAAUCUGAGAAUAGGAAUAGGGGCAUAUGAGAGGAUUUGUAGCACUUGGAGCCCCUCAAACUCUCCAUGCCAACUGAGCCUUUCUUGAUUCCAGGCCACUUCUUUCUACAUUUAGGGUCAGAUCCUGGAUUUCCCAAAAGCUGCCAUUAAAAAGUCAAAUUUUGAAGAGGCUGACUUAAACACAAAAGAAUUAUAUACUUAACUAAUUUACAUUAGCAAAAAUCUGGGGAAUGUACAUGAGAAUACAUUCUAAGGAUUUUCAAUCAAACAAGAAAAACAUUUAGAUUUUGUUUUUAAGUGGGAUUAAAUUUAAUGGUAUGGGUACUGUGGUGGUCAAUUUUAUAGAUCAACAUGGCUGGGCCAUAGUUCCCAGUUAUUCAAUCAAAACUAAUCCAAGUGCUGCUGUAAAAGCUUUUUGUGAUGUAAUGAAAAUCCAUAAUCAGUUGACUAAGUAAAGGAGAUUAUUUUAGAUAAUGUAGAUAAUCCUAGAUGAUCUGAGUGGGCUUGAUUAAGUCAGUUGAAAGGCCUUAAAAGCAGAACUGAGGCUUUCCUAAGGAAGAAGAAAUCCCACCUGUGUAAAGUAAUUAAACCUCUUACCCAGAAAUUCCAGCCUGCCAUUCUUGAUGACCAGCCCUAUGGAUUUUGGACUUGCCUUGUCAGCCUCCACAAUCAUAUAAGCUAACUCCAUGCAAUACGUCUCUUAUAUCUUUUAUUUCUUUGGUUGAACCCUGACUGAUACAGAUAACCUAGCCCAAGAGUCUGGAUUCAAUGUGCCAGCUCAAGCAGUUCUUAAUGAUUCUAACAGUUGCUCCACUAUUAAACUAUGGUGACCAGCGUUAAACAAAGUUUUGAGGUGACAAAAAUCCACUGGUGUAAUGCAGAAAAAUACAUUCUAAGUGGAACAUCAUGUCCCUAGCCUUCAGAUCACACCUAUGGUAAGGCCCAUUAUAACGGGCUGCUGAAGCUGUGCAGAGCUGGAAAUGGGAAGCUGCUGUGCUAUUGCCUGUCUGGAGGUGGCCCUGAAACACUACAGCAAGGGGCACUAUUCACAAUGAACAGAACUUUAGACCACACACCUGUUUGCCCACUUUAUGUGGAAAGAGAAGUGGCUCAAGGUAAGAACGUACACUGUUAUCCAUCUCUAGUGAAUAGGAACUGUUUCUGAUCCUCCUUCGUGACAAGAAUGGCUACAAUCCAUGUACUUACAGCCUUGUUCAUUUGCUAGUGAAGAUACCCACAUCUGACACAGCAGCUGCAUUGGGAGAUACUACCUCGUUGAGUUUUGUGGGGAUGAAGGAAUCCAAGAUGUUAGAGAUGAUGGAGUCCAAGAAGCAGUAUUCAAUCAGAGAAUCAAGGUCAUCAUGCUACAGAUGGUCUUACAAAUGGAACCCCAAAUGAGCUCAACUAACAACUUCUACCGAGGACAGCUGGACCAACUUGCUGGCCCUUCUGCUGGCCUAAAGAGUUCACCUCUGGAGGACCCUACAACUGCAGGGCCUCUUCUUUGCCCCUAUCCAGCAGGAAGUAGCUAGAGUGGUCAUUGGCCAAAUUCCCAACAGCAGUUGGGGUGUCCUGUUUAGAGGGGGGAUUGAGAGGUGACAACGUGCUAGCAGCCCUCACUCACUCUCAGCAUCUCCUCAGCCUUGACGUCCUCUCUGGCUGCGCUCGAGGAGCCCUUCAGCCCACCGCUGCACUAUGGGGGCCCCUCUCUGGGGCUGGCCAAGGCCGGAGCUUGCUCCCUCUUCCUGCAGGGAGGUGUGGAGGGAGAGGUGCGGGUGGGAGCCGGGGCGGCACGUGGCACUUGUAGGCUGGUGCAGGUUCCAAAUGGGCAUGGGCCCAGCAGGCCCAGCACUUGGCACUACCAGCUGGCACCUGCUGUGAUUGAUUGGAGGCUGGGUCCUGUGCAUGGACCGCCAUUCCCUCUUCACGGGGUCAUUGGCCAUGGUGGCAGGUCUCCUUCUCUUUCUCACAUCUCUUCUUCUCCUUUUGGUUGUCUGGGACGAGCUAGGUGCCGCAAAGUCCCAUGGUGAGUGCUAGUGAGAGGUGAGGCCAGCUGGGCUUCUGGGAUGGGUGGGGACUUGGAGAACUUUCUGUGUAGCUAAAGCAUUAUAAAUGCACCAAUGAGCACUCUGUGUCUAGCUAAAGGUUUGUAAACACACCAAUCAGCGCUCUGUGUCUAGCUAAUCGGGUGGGGACUUCAAGAACUUUUGUGUCUAGCUAAAGGAUUGUAAAUGCACCAAUCAGCACUCUGUCAAAAUGGACCAAUCAGCUCUCUGUAAAAUGGACCAAUCAGCAGGAUGUGGGUGGGACCAGAUAAGGGAAUAAAAGCAGGCCACCUGAGCCAGCAGCAGCAACCCGCUGGGGUUCCCUUCCACACUGUGGAAGCUUUGUUCUUUCACUCUUCACAAUAAAUCUUGCUGCUGCUCACUCUUUGGGCCCAUGCUGCCUUUAUGAGCUGUAACACUCACCGGGAAGGUCUGCAGCUUCACUCCUGAAGUCAGCAAGACCAUGAACUCACCAGAAGGAAGAAACUCUGGACACAUCUGAACAUCUGAAGGAAUAAACUCCAGACACACCAUCUUUAAGAACUGUAACACUCACUGCAAGGGUCUACGGCUUCAUUCUUGAAGUCAGAGAGACCAAGAACCCACCAAUUCUGGACACAGGACCACUAAAAUAUCGCAUGAUUGCUAAAAAUAUAGAUAGCCUAAUCAAGUCAAGAAUACUUGUGUUGGCUUCCUGACACAAGGAGUGAGGACCAUUUUUGUCCUAUUUUACUCCUUAUUUUAGUAGACAGGACCAACAGGAACCUGUGUGGUUUCUACUCCCUUCCAAAACAAUAAACCAAAAGCAAUUCUCCAUUUCUAAGAAAUUACAUAGUUCAGAGCCUGUUGGGAGAAAAGCUGAGUGUUGGGAGAGAAGCUGAGGCAGGGCUUGCAUGUCUGCUAGACUUGCUGACUCCUUGCUUCUAGCACUCCCAUUAUCUCAAGUAGCCAUAUGUUUCUCAUUCACUUGAUACACCAUUUCCUUUCAACCCCCACAUCCUCACCACCUGUUUCUUUGAACACUAAUAAAUAGCGUGGACUCCCAGAGCUUGGGGCCUUCACAGCCUCCACACUCACAAUGGCCCCCUGGUCCCACUUUCUCUCUCAAACUCGUUUUCUCAUUCCUUUGACUCCACCAGACUUUGUCACCCCUAUGUCCUGGUGUUGGGUCUGAUCACCCCAACAGGAGACAUCAUGAAAUAUUUUAUUUAUACAGGGAAGGAGGAUGAUUUCUAUUACGUGUCCACCUAUAUGUCCAAUUGGCUAGAAUGAAAAAGAUCUGUAUUAGGAAAAUGAUAAUGAAUAUUUGAUUUUAAUCAGGUGGAGACAGCAUUUGUAGUGUCUAAACAGAUCUGGGCAAACCAAAUCGUCCCUGAAACCUGUUAGGCAACUAUUGAUCUAUUGUCCUCUUCAUUGUUAGCGACUUUAACUGAGCACAUUGCUUGAUGUGGGCCAAUGUGAAUAAUGAUGAGAUUUGAACAGCAAUGUUGUGUGUAGCUUCCAGAAAGGUUUAUUAAAGAAAUCAAAGUUAGCUAUUUUCCUCUUUCCUCCUUUCUGCCAGUUAGAAGGUAAACAUGAUGAUUGGAGUGCUAGAAGCUAUAUUGAACCAAAAGACAAGGACCACACCCUAAAUAUGAUGAGGCAAUAUCAGCCCUGGAUAGCCUAG